rnacentral:rRNA from 1 species
UACGGAGGGUGCAAGCGUUAUUCGGAAUUACUGGGCGUAAAGGGCGCGUAGGCGGCUUUUUAAGUCAGGCGUUAAAUACCGGGGCUAAACUCCGGAAGUGCGUUUGAAACUAAAAAGCUUGAGUACGGGAGAGGGAAGUGGAAUUCCUGGUGUAGAGGUGAAAUUCGUAGAUAUCAGGAGGAACACCGGUGGCGAAAGCGACUUCCUGGACCGAUACUGACGCUGAGGCGCGCAAGCGUGGGUAGCAAACAGG